UGAGGAUGAGAUAUAAUGAUUAAGAGGGACAGACGGGGGCAUUCGUACUGUGUCGUUAGAGGUGAAAUUCUUAGAUCGGCGGCGCAAGACGAACGACUGCGAAAUUAUUUGCCAAGAAUGUUUUUUUU
rnacentral:ncRNA from 1 species